ACACGCGGGCGUUUUCUCCGGUAAGCUAGCAUGCUAGUAAAUGUUUGUCGUUCAUUGGCGGUUCUCACGACGGACGCCGUGCUUGUUUGUUUGUUGCAAGAUUCAAGGCGAGUUAUCGAAUUCAGGGGAUUCAAGGCGAGUUCUCCAAUGCAGGCGCCACCGACCGUGUGGCGGUGUCUCGGGAUACAAGGGGAGUUAUGAAAUACAGGCGCCACCGACCGUGUGGCGGUUUCUCGGUGAGCAGAGUGACGCCGGUGAGAAGUCACACCAUCGAACUCCCUGACGCAGAGCUGUGCUUUACCAUUAGCCAGACCAGGCAACUGCCUGGAGCAAGGCACUAGGGGGCUCUCUUAUUUAUUCAUUUUUACAUUUGGCACUUGUCCCUUGUAUUCAUUCUUGACCUCAUACGCUGCUGUGACAAGUAAAUUUCCCUGUUGUGGAAUAAAGUUCAAUCAAUUGUUUGUAUUGUAGUGUUUGUAUUGUAUGGUAUGAUAUUGUAUGGUAUUUAUUGUAUGGUAGUGUACGGUAGGGUAUUGUAUGUAUUCUGUAUGUCCGUCCAUCCAUCUUCUUCCGCUUAUCCGGGGAUCGGAUCGCGGUGGCAGCAGCUUUGGGAGGGACUCCCAGACUUCCCUCUCUCCAGCCACUUCAUCCAGCUCACAUUGUACUGUAUUGUUUGUAUUGUACCGUAUUUUGUAUUGUAUGUAAUGUUUGUAUUGAAUGUAUUGUAUGGUAUUUGUAUGGUAUUGUUUGUACGGCAUGUGUUGUACUGUAUGCGUUGUAUUGUUUGCACUGUAUUGUAUUGUUUGUGCUGUGCUGUAUUGUACUGUUUGUACUAUAUUGUACUGUAUUGUACUUUACUGUAUUGUACUUUACUUUAUUGUACUGUACUGUUUGUAUUGUACGCGCUGCGCUGUGUGCGCUGCGCAGUACGCGCCGCGCAGUACGCGUACUGUGUACAUGUGCAGUGCAACGCAGUACAAACAAUACAAACAGUACAGUACAAACAAUACGCUGGACGCGCUGUACUGUGCUGUACACGCUGCGCUGUACUGUUUGUACUGUGCUGUGCU